rnacentral:rRNA from 1 species
AGAGUUUGAUCCUGGCUCAAAUUGAACGCUAGCGGGAUGCUUUACACAUGCAAGUCGAACGGCAGCGCGAACUUCGGUUUGGCGGCGAGUGGCGAACGGGUGAGUAAUAUAUCGGAACGUACCCAGUAGCGGGGGGUAACUACUCUAAAGAGUAGCUAAUACCGCAUACGCCCUACGGGGGAAAGGGGGGGAUCGCAAGACCUCUCACUAUUGGAGCGGCCGAUAUCGGAUUAGCUAGUUGGUGGGGUAAAGGCUCACCAAGGUGACGAUCCGUAUCUGGUUUGAGAGGACGACCAGCCACACUGGGACUGAGACACGGCCCACACUCCUACUGGAGGCAGCAGUGGGGAAUUUUGGACAAUGGGGGAAACCCUGAUCCAGCCAUCCCG